UAACCACCCCCAACUGCUACCACCCAAGAUAAGCAGGUGUGGCUCUGGGCCCCUCAGCAGCAGGCCAGUGGAGAGGUGAGACUAGCAGUGUGUGGCCUGGGACAGGAGUAGAUAAAAGGCAGCCAUGGAGGUGGACUUGUCUGCCGGGCCAUUUCCUUCCCACCUAAGCUCCUGCCAGAUGGCUCCCAGUUGCUGUGUUUGAGCCCAGGCUGACCACUUCCUAGGCAGUGGCGUUGGAGAUGGGUGUGGCCUUGCCUCCAGGAUCUCCUCACAGCUUGUGCUUCCUGACAGCUGUGGACACUUGGGCUGACUGCAGACCUCCCGCUACCCUGAUUUCCAGCAAGUGAGCCAGCGCCAUGAGGAGUGGCUGCCUCUUGAAUCCUGUCAGUCUCCGGCAGAUCCGAUUACAUCUGGGACCCUUAAGAGUACUUGAAGCAAACGGCGCUGGUCUAUUUUAAUCCUGCUCCUUCUAGAAACUAGAAACUGUAAGGAGAGUCUUCCUGCUGACAGGUGGCUCCAUAAAAGUCGUCCAUCUGCUGCUAAUUAUGGCAGAAAGAAAAUUCACAGAGCCGAGUUUUCAGUUUAUUUGCUAAAGAUCUCCAAAGGUGUAACUGUCUUCCCAGAUCACAAGGCCAUUCACAGCGUUACAUCUAUAGCGCUUGUUAAUUAUUUAAAUAAUUUACAACUCGGGGUGGCAGCGAGCAUUUAACAGAAGUCUGGCUGGGUGAGGAUGGGUUUGAUGGUUGAUCAUGGCAGAGGAGGAGAAUCUGUUUUCACAGCUCACAGAAUCUAGACUUGUGGGGUUUUGUUGUUCUCCUUACCAUUCUUUCCAAGGGAAACUCAAAAAAGGGUCAGAAUUUGGAAUAUUUUGGACUUGAUUGCUUUGAUUCCCAAACUUCAGUUCAUCUCCCUCUCCUCUUCAUGGUUUCAUCUAUAAAAUGGGUACAAUCUCUCAACUGUUUAACUCAGAAGGCUUUUGUGAUCUUGGAAUAGGAUAAUUUAUUAAAAAGUGUCAUGUAUAGCAUAAUAUAUAAAGAAUUUUAGACCCAUGAAAUAGAUAGAAAUGAGUAAAUCUGAUAGGUCAGAUGAUAAAAUAAUUUAAUAAUAAAAGACAGAUAUUUUUCCCUUCCCUGUAGUUUUCUUUUCCUUCUCCCAUCUAGAUACCAGUAGAAUUUAAAAGUUGCUUCCUUAUUUUUGUUCUUAUAGAAUUAUAUGUAUAUAUAUUUCUCUUUUUCUGCAACAAUAGUCUUACAUUAUAGUUUAGUCAUGGGUUUAUGGAUCCAUCUCCCUCUGCUAGACUGGGAAUGACUUGAGGAUGGGAACAAUAUCUUAUUCAUAGUUAUGUUCCCAGUACCUAGCAGGGCCUGAAACAUCGCAGAUGUUCAAUAUAUGUUAAAUUGAAGAGCCUUGACAUUAAGCAAAUGAAACAAAGGUGAUUUUACUUUAUGAUGAAGUUAUAUUCAAUAUUAACCUUAAUUAGUGGCACUAAAUCUGUCAAAUUCAAUCAUUUUUGACAUAUUUGAUGAUUUUUCUGCCGGUGCUAGAAAUACUAUAAAAUCCAUUUUAAAAGACGUAUAGCUCCAAGUUGGGUGUGAUAAACUGGAACCCUCCUGAUCUGUUCUCUAGGUUCUGUCCUUGGGCAUUACACAGAACCUUACAUAAGACUCUGGUUUUCAGGUAUAAAAUGAAGGUAGGAUGGGGUUACACAGAACCUGAUGUAAGACUCUUGUUUUCAGGUAUAAAAUGAAGGUAGGAUGGGGUUAACCACAUGACUUAAGUUACAUCAAAUACUCUGAUGGCUAUAACGUGGAAGUCAGAAAUUGGUCCCUAGUUGAAUGAUUUGCAGAGAAUAUACCAAAAAUACAGAAAUCAAAUGAAGUCAUUGCACAUGAAAAUGGUAGAACAGUGAGGCAAUGGUGAGGUCAAAGGCUAGGGUCCAUGUCAUGAGGCAAAAGCAGUGCUAGGUCACCCCUGACUCCAUCUGGCCCAUUUUUUGACAUUAUAUUUGGAUGUCCUUUUACCUAGAUUAUAUUGUUGGAAUAUAAUUCAUAUGGUUUUCUAUAUAUUCAAGUUCUCAUAGAAGGGAGGUUAGGAAAAUAAGUUUUGAUAAAAAUGACAUAAAACAGCCCAAAACAAUGAAGAAGUCUAAAAAAGUGGCUAGAAAAGAAUUGGCUGGGAUAGUGAAAAGAUUUUUAUUGCAAAAUGUCCUAUUAGAUAAAUCUGGUUGCAUUUGCUGUUGAUUUUAUUUUUAAAAUGUUUCAUUCUGCCACUGUUCUUUGCAGACUUUCUACUUCUGGUUUUUCAAUGUUGCUCUAUUCUUUGAAAUGUUACAUGCAUAUGGAAGCUGCAAAGUGGGCACUAGAUUGGAAUAGGCCUCUCAAACCCUGCCAUUGUUUGAAUCUCAGUUUUGAACUAAUUGCCUAACUGACUUUGCCUUGAAUACCUCCUGUUCUGGUCUUACCAGCUUCUUACUUGUGACCCAAUCCCUUGAAGCUGAGCUUCACUUGGUCUCAUUUCUCUGUGCAUUUCUUGGUUGCUUUCCUUGAUCUCUCCCUCUAAAUAGAUCUAUUUUCUAGAUCUCUCUCAGCAAGCUGUCAAGCCUGCUGGGUAACCUCUUCUGGCCUGGCUUGGCCUUUGAAAGCAUCACUUCUCUCCUGGUCCUUCUGGCCCCUUGAAUAUGACUUAGCAAGAAACUAGGUGGAUAAGCCUCAUGUUAUGGGAACUUUUAGUUACAACCAGACUUCAGUGAGUCUUCCUCCAAUCUCUCUCACUUUUCACAAUUUUUCCAUUCUCCAUUGUACUGUUGCAUAAGUUCCCAUGGCAGGAUUUUCCAAAAUCUGGUUGUGCUCAAAGCCUUAUAUAUUUGAUUGAAAGAAACAUUGCCAUAGCUCUUUCUUCCUCCUUUUCCUAUAGCUAAUUGUAAGACUUGAGGAAAAUGAAAAGGGGCUCCUACUUGGGAAAGAGCUGGAGAAUUUUUGACUCAUAAUCUGUAUAACAUGAACUAAUGUAUAUUAUACAUUGUUGUAUGAUAUUCCUUAUUGACAUUGUCUCUCUAAAUAUAUGGCUGAUUCCUUAGAAGGUAAAUACUUCUCUCUUGUCUCUCUCUCUCAAGUUUAACACCAUGCCUGCACAUACUGUAGGAUUAUUAAGUAUUUUUUUCUUUAAAAAUUUUUUUUUAAAUUUCAAUAGCUUUUGGGGUACAAGUGGUUUUUGGUUACAUGGAUGAAUUGUAUAGUGGUGAAGUCUGAGAUUUUAGUGUACCCAUCACCCAAGUAGUAUACAUAGUAUCCAAUGUAUAGUUUUUUGAUCACUUACCACCUCCCUUCUGAGUCCCCAAAGUCCAUUAUGUCACUUGUAUGUGUUUGCAUACUCAUAGCUUAGCUCCCACUUAUAAGUGACAAUAUGUGGUAUUUGGUUUUCCAUUCCUGAGUUACUUCACUUAGAAUAAUGGCCUCCAGCUCCAUCCAAGUUGCUGCAAAAUACAUUAUUUCAUUCUGUUUUACAGCUGAGUAGUUUUCCAUGGUGUAUAUUUAACACAUUUUCUUUAUUCACUCAUUGGUUGAUGGGCACUAGGUUGGUUCCAUAUCUUUGCACUUGUAAACUGUGCUGCAAUAAACACAUGUGUGCAGGUGUCUUUUUGAUAUAAUGGCUUCUUUUCCUUUGGGUAGAUACCCAGUAGUGGGAUUGCUGGAUUGAAUGGUAGAUCUACUUUCAGUUCUUAUGCAGUGCACAAGUGCUCCCUCUUCACCACAUCCACCUUCACGUCUAUUGUUUUUUGACUUUUUAAUAAUGUCCCUUUUUGCAGGAAUAAGGUGGUAUCUCAUUGUGGUUUUAAUUUGCAUUUCCCUGAUGAUUAGUGAUAUUGAGCAUUUUGUCAUAUGUUUGUUGGCCAUUUGUAAAUCUUCUUUUAAGAAAUGUCUAUCCAUGUCAUUUGUCCACUUUUGAUGGGAUUUUUUUUUCUUGCUGAUUUGUUUAAGUUACUCGUAUAUUCUGGAUGUCAGUGUAAGAUCAUUAAGUGUUAACUAUAAAAGUCACCAUAGUGUGUCCACUAACUCACACUUGAGUGUUAUUGUUACCGCCAAAUGGCUGCCGAGAAUCAUAUAUUCUUAUCUCUUCAUUUCGUAAAGAUGAGAUACCUUUGUAAAUCAAGGCCAGUGAGGUUAUACUUUUGUUUUUCAAGAAGAAUUAUUAGUGAGAGUAUGCCAAUAACCCUAAUAUGGUAUAAUGAUGUCCUAUGUCAUCCUGAAUAAAUAAACAAUUAUUUGGGGGUGAUUUUGUACUUUAGCAAAGGUUUUUUCUGUGAUUAAGUGAAGUAUAUAUGCAAAAUAUUUUUGGCAAUUAUAUUCUCAACACUCCAGUGUGUGGCUUGAUGUUUUGAGAAAAUACCUUCAUUGUUACUACUCUGUGGAGCUUUUGCCAAGGUACAUUUUGCUUUGCUAGUGUAGAAAUGGCCUUUCUGUGGCCACUAACGAUUUCUUGGCAAUCCUGAAUCAAAAUGUCCUUGCCAGAACCUAAUUUAGGGAAUUGCAUCUUUUUCCCACUAAUUAACUCCAUUGUUUCAAUUAGGAAAGAACUAUUCCUUCCAGCCCAGAACACUGUCUCUGAACAGCAAGAUGGCUUUGAAACGCUUUCACAACGAAGGUGUGCUCCACUGGGCACCACAACAUACGGUUCAGACGUUUAAAGCCUGUCUCAGCCCAAUUUCCUCUCCAUUUGCUCCCUGGGUAAGUGGUGGAGUCUAGAAGUCUGAGAUCAGGGCACCAGCCUGGCCGAGUUCUGAUGGCGUCUCGCUUUGUCACCCAGGCUGGAGUGCAGUGGCGCGAUCUCGGUUCACUGCAACAUCUACCUCCCAGGUUCAAGUGAUUCUCCUGCCUUAGCCUCCCGAGUAGCUGGGAUUACAGGCACCCACCACCACAUCCGGCGAAUUUUUUGUAUUUUUAGUAGAGACAGGGUUUCACCAUGUUGGCCAGGAUGGUCUUGAUUUCCUGACCUGGUGAUCUGCCCACCUUGGCCUCCCAAACUGCUGGGAUUGCAGGCGUGAGCCACCGUGCCUGGCCGACCACUGAUCUUUUCACUGUAUCCACAGUGUUGCCUUUUCCAGAAUGUCAUAGAAUUUGAAUCAUACUAUAUGUUGCCCUUUCAGAUGAGUUUCUUUCACUUACUAAUAUUCAUUUGUUUCCUCCAUGUCUUUUGGCUUGAUAAUUCAUUUCUUUUUAUCACUGAAUAAUAUUCCAUUGUCUGAUGUACCACAGUUUAUUUACGCAUUUACCUACUGAAGGAUAUCAGGACAUCUUAGUUGCCUCUGAGUUUUUGGCAAUUAUGAAUAAAACUGCUAUAGAAAGAUGUGUGCAGGUUUUUCUGUGGAUAUAGUUUUCAACUCCUUUGGGUAACUCCAAGGAGUGUGGUCGCUGGAUCAUAUAGUAAGAGUAUGUGUAGUUUUGUAACAAAUAGCCAAAUGUUCUCCAAAGUGGCAUUAGCAUUUUGCUUUCCCACCAGCAAGGAAUAAGAGUUCCUGUUGCUCUGUAUCCUCACCAGCAUUUGGUGGUGUCAGUGUUCUGGAUUUUGGCCAUUGUAAUAAAUGUGUGGUGUUAUCUCAUUGUUGUUUUAAUUUGCAUUUGCCUGAUGACAUACAAUGUGGAACAUCUUUUUAUUGAAGCUAAUGUUUUAAGCCUGGCAAUUUAGUCUCUUCUCUUCCUGUAACCCUGAGCCACUGAGCACAGCUUUCUCCAGAAGCACCUGUGAGUCACUAUACACCACUGCUAUCUCCUGAAUGCUGGAGGCACUGGAGUGGGCCCUUUCAACUUUCAUUUUCUUAUUACCUAGAGAACUUGGCAUUGGUAGAUGCCCAAAAAAUGUAUGUGAGAUGCCUGCACAUUAAAAGACUGGCUGAAAACUUAAGCAGUAUACUGGUUUAGAUCAUUCAUCGCUGUCGGCAAGAGUAAAAAGCUAUGUAGCAGCAU
rnacentral:lncRNA from 1 species